CCUGUGGAGCCUCGUGCUCCGGCAGCGGGUCCAAGUAGUCCAAAGUGGGUGAGGAACCUGCGGGCCCUCAUGGAGGAGUGCAACAGGCGGCGUGGCGGCCUGACAGGUAAGAGAGGUGCUGGGCCUCCAGCAGGCCAACCUCCAGGUAAGAGGUCUCCCACUUAGACUCUUACAUUUAAUAUAAUUUCAUUCUAGUCUUUAGGUUUUUAAGUUUUACUGAAUGUGAUUCAUGUUGGAUGUGAUCUGACCAGAUUUUAUUUGAAUGAUCCUGUUGUGAUGAUGUCUGGUUGAUCUAUUCCAACUUUAUUUGAAUAGAUUUUAUUUUAUUCUACUUUAUGUAUUUUCUCUUUGUAUAGUGUGAUUUAUGUUGGAUGUGAUUUGAUCAGACUUUAUUUGAAUGAUCCUGUUGUGAUGAUGUCUGGUUGAUCUAUUCUGACUUUAUUUGAAUCAUUUUUUUCUGGUUUUAUUGUACAUAGUUCGUUUGCACACUGUGAUUUAUGUUGGAUGUGAUCUGACCAGAUUUUAUUUGAAUGAUCCUGUUGUGAUGAUGUCUGGUUGAUCUAUUCCAACUUUAUUUGAAUGAAUUUAAAUGUAUUAUCUACUGUUUGUGGCCCUGUGAUGGACUGGCGAGCUGUCCAGGGUGUCUCUGCCUUCGCCAGGAGUCGACUAGGAAAGACUCCAGCCCCACAUGACCCUACAGAGGAUCAAGUGGAGUGUAGAGGAUGGAUGGAUGGAUGGAUGGAUGGAUGGAUGGAUGGAUGGAUGGAUGGAUGGAUGGAUGGAUGGAUGGAUGGAUGGAUGUGCUCUGUGUGAUUCCAGCUGAACUCUGUCCUUGUCAGUGGGACUCAGGUCAGGGUGUCUUUCAGUGGUGUGGGUGGAUGUGGGGGGAAUAGCGCCCUCACAGUGAAGCUGUAUCAGUUGUAAUAUGUGUGUCUGCAUCCCACCCUGGACCCACAGUGGAGUCCACAGUGACAAGGACCAGAGUUCAGUGGAAGCACACUGGGAGGGGGGAGGAAGAUUUCACGGGCCGCUGCACAGCGGUGGCCCGUGACAAGGUGAGUUUCAGGUUUACAUUUUAUAUUCAUAACACAAGAAGUUUUUAAAUCUUCAAUAGGAGGUGAUAAAUGUUCUGACAUGUUCUCCUGUUGUUUUUUUCUGCUCCAGGUCCCAGCUCCAGCAGACCCAUGAAGAUGACCAACCGAGCCCACCAGAGACGACCCCAGAGACUACAACCAGACGACAGGACAACUUUCUAAAGAGCAGAAUGCACUGGAUGGAACAUCGAGGAGAGAAAAGAUGUUAAGAAGAAAAGGAUGAUGGGAACCAGAUCCAGGACCAGUGCAUGAGAUGUGAGACCACAAAACUAAAACAAGAGCUCUCUCUGCAAGACACCCAGUAAAAUGAAGGAUCAGAUCAGGACAAGAGACUGGACAAGAGCAGCCCCAGCAUGUGAAUACAGACUAUGGAAGAGGGGAUGCUUGUUAUAGUGACACAAAAGGAGGAAGUCAGUGUACAAAGAGAAAAUCCCACACAGUCAGAGAACAUGAAGAGGAAGAAGCAGAUGAGCAGCAGAAUCUAAGAAGACAAAGAAGCAGUUGGAGGAGCCUCCAGACGAUUAGCAACAGAAGAAACGUGUCCCAGAACAGGAAGAAGAAGACCAACAUCAAAGAGAGAAGAAGAAGAAACAGACCCAAGAAGAAGAAAAAAGAAAGAAAAGCUCCAGAUUACUCCAAAGGUCCUCUCUGCAGGUGUUUCUGGAUCUGGAGCUACACGUUUAGAUCUGCUUUUACUGGCCUCACCAACCUGCAGAGUUCAUGUUCUCUCCCUCCUCUGUACCCUCAUCCCAAACGGAGGUUUUUUUUUCAACUUCCUGGCAACAGGAAGUUUUUUUUCCUCCACGCUGCUACCAAAUGCUUGAUCUGAUCCAAAUGCAAUCAGAGAGAGUCUUAAAUAAAAAGUCAA